GAAAACUGACCCUCCGUGAAAGUAAUAAACUUGCUGCUCUGAACAUCAGAUCCAUAAGCAGGAGUAACAGGUAACCUGAAGUGUCACCUCCAAGAACGGGACCCAGCCCCACAAUGAGGAAGCAAUUUAACUCUGCCUUAGCCUUGAAAAUGUGACAAAACUGAGUUGGACAGCAGUCUUGAGACACAUGGGACAAAAGGCGAGAUUCGUUCUGUCCGGGGAAAAACAAGAUUUUCAGGACAAAUGAGAGAGUGACAGAUUCAUAAAGAGAGUGACAAAUUCAUCGAUGAAGACUGCGGAGAGGAGAGGUGAGGAAGCCACAGGCAGUCAGCAGAAAGCAGUGAGCUGCUCCCUCCACAGGCCCGGCAGCGGCAGCCCCGCGAUCUCCAGGGUGGACGUCGGUACUUCAUGGCAACCUGCACUGCCAGGUGCUCCUGCCCAACUGUCGGCUAACAUUUACCCAUUCCAAGCGCACUUAAGGUAGGUGAGGCUAUGUUACCAUGUUCAGUAGACUGAAGGGUAUUAAACGCAUUUCCGACUUAAAAGUAUCUUCAACUUAGGAUGGGUUUCUGGGAAGGCAGCCCUGUCGUAAAUUAGAGAGUAUCUGUCUGUAUCAAACGUGUGACCUUACGUGCACACUUCAUUCUCUCAUGCAAUGAAAUAGGCAGAAACAAGCAAACUAUUAUUACCAACAUACAAAUAGUGAGAUUUCAAUGACCAGAUACUCAAACGAGCCUGCAAAAAUCCUCACACCACGGCCUACAGGAUGAAGUCCAUAAAUGACUACACUGAUUAAAUAAGUCUUUGCAUUUCUUCAUUUAUAUUGGUCCUAUUUUGAGAAAUGUCUAGAAAGGUAGCAAAAUCACCUAGUAUAUAGGUUCGGGUAAAUAAUGAAGAGUACUCAGUACUAUCUUCUUAAGAAAAGAAAAAAAAUUCUGAAUUUACUAAUUUUUUUCCUCUUAAGAAAAGAAAUCUAGGGUGUUGGCUACGUUUGCUCAUGUUGAGAAUGCAAAAGGCCACUGUUUCUUAAGCGGCUCUUGCACAACAAAGAAAAACUACCUGCUCCCUGGCCCAGCUGCCUGCUUUGCUGGAGAAGGCAGGCGGGGUGGAGACUCCUCCAGGAGGUGUUUAAUAAUCUGCAAAGGUCCAGACAGCAACCCGGGGCAGACACAGCUCAAGCCAGCCAACCUGACCAUUGGAAAGAAAGGAGGAGAAUGCACACUUUCCUGGGUUCAGCUCUCUGGGGUCCCCAACACCUCCUCUUUGUGGCCAUCUUGUCCCCUGGCACCAAAGCUGAGCUCAGAGGAAAGCACCUGCCAUGAUCCACUCUGUCUCUGCCGCCUCCCUGCCCACUCCUGUGGGAAGCUCCCUCUCGGCAUCUGUCCGUCAUCAGCAUCUGUCCGUCAUCGGCAUCUGUCUGUCACGGGUCAUCUGCCGCACCACACUGAGAACCCAUGAGUGCCAAAUGUCCCCCGUCAGCUGGCCCACCCGCAUUUCAUCUUCCUGGCUUAAGAAGGUGAGUCUCAGGGCCCAGCCGUCUAUCAGAACUGACCUGGUCUUCUCCGACCCCUUUCCCUAUGAUUUUUUGGUGGCUUUUUUCUUUUAGGAUUUUCUAUAUCCCACGUUGGUCACUUACACUCUGUAUUUACUCUCUUAUAAAAAUAUGUUACUAUUGGUGAUAACCAUUGGGUUUCGCAAGAAAACCUGUAUCCUGGCACCCACUGCGGGGCUGGGAAUCUGCGCAGAUAGCUGCCUGGUCUUUGGUGACCAGAUUUUCCACGUUCCUCCUUGAGCGCUGCCAUGUGACAGCAGCCUCAGACAGCAACAACUGGUCCAGUGCCCAACUCGCACGACAUCCCCGUGGAAAGACGCAAACAUUUACUCAACAUGUUUCUUCUCUGUGGAGCAAGCUCUAAGCAUCCAAGCAAAGCUGAAGGGGGGCUCUCCCUACACUGCCCUAAACACCUGGUUAUUUGCCAGGUCCACACUUGGCAGUGCUAACUCAGCAUGACAACACGCUUACCAAGUUCCUUUUCAGAGUGGACUUUCACCUCCCCUUAUUCUGUGCAUUCAGCACAGCGUAUGGAGAAAAAGGCUAAGCUGGGAAUCAGGACGCCUGGAUUUGAGCUCUGCACCAUUCCUGUGGCCUUGGCUCAGUUAUUAAAUCUUUCUGCAUUUCAGUACCUGUAAAAUGUCAGGAUUCACUCAAAAAUCACCUCCAAGUUUCCUGCAGUUAUAACACAUAUAUGAUUGUCUAUAUUAACCUUCUAAAACAAGCCCAAAUACAAAUAAUGUAAGUUUACAAAGAAACAUAAACAAUCACGAAAGCAAAUGCUUUCCUUCACGGUCAUUACACCAAGUCAAUGUAACACUCCUAACGAUAUAACACCGUGCUCUAAAAUGGCGGCCGCCCUAACCCCGCUCGGGCCAAGAAGGUGCAGUUUCAUCACCUACCACCUUGUAGGAAUCUAAAUGGAGUUUUCGUGGGUCCAAAACAUGUAAAAUGCUUUCCAAAAUGGUCUACUAUUCCCCUGGACGGGAUUUAAGGAUUGCCUAAAACACACACUCUCGACGGCCCCCUUAAUGUUCACAGCUAAGCAAAAAACCUGGUUUGUAAAUCAUCUCCCACACACAUAUAAAAUCCCAAAUUCUAACUGUAAUAACUUUCUUUUUAAUCAAUACCUAUACUUUAAAAUAUGUAAAUAUUAGGAAAAUCAACCUUACUUUCUAAAGUUCAAAUUCUUAGCAGCCCAUAAUCUUUCAUCAACCUAGAAAAUAACUGAUAAGCCAAUCUUCCUGUGAAACCAUUAACAGAUUCUGCUUUUCUGUCACCAGGGUAAUUUACCGAGGCUAAUUUUAAUCCUACCACUAAACCACUAAUCGCAUGACUCUACAGAAUUGUCCCCAAGUUUACGUUGCUACGGCAAGCACUUUUACAUUAGGAAUUCACUUAUUUAUUAACACUUUUAUUUUUUAAGUUGGUUUUAGGAAUGAGAUCGUCUUGCUUGCCUCUCAUUUUAAAAAGUAAAAAGCCAUUUUUGAAAAAAGGAAGCUACUUGAGCACCUGGGGUUGCACUGCACUCAACACAAUAACGUUAAUUUAAAUUAUGCUUGGUGUUACUCAAAGGGACAAAUUAUCAUCAUUAUGCUAAUGGUCAUGCUAAAGACAUGAAAAGCUUUGAAAUGAUUAAUCUAAAUCUGGGGGGAAUAUGAUUAUCAAUGUGAAUGAUGGUAUUUUCUCAAACUGGCAUAAAAAUGUUCUGUCUGUGUCACUGAUAAUGUCAAUAUAAAUGAUGCAUCACCAAAGGCAACGUGCACUCACACGCUCUUCGCUCACGUUCUCGAAGCAAAGCCCCAGCCCACCUUUCAGUCCACAUAUGCCUUGCUUUGGGGACACACGUGUGGAUGAAUAGAAAUUUGUUUACUUCUUUCGUAAAACAGAGAAAACAGGAUGAUUAAAGCCAACAAGACUGAGACAACGAGAGAGAGGUGUCUGGAGACACAUUUGCUUUGGUGUCGACUCGACAGCC
rnacentral:lncRNA from 1 species